rnacentral:rRNA from 1 species
AAAGACCUCAACUCAGGCAAGACUACCCGCUGAACUUAAGCAUAUCAGUAAGCGGAGGAAAAGAAAACAACUGUGAUUCCCUUAGUAACGGCGAGUGAAGCGGGAAAAGCCCAUCGUUGAAUCUCCCUGGACCUAGUUCGGGGCGAGUUGUAACGGUAUGGAUUGGCAUUCUAGCGCCAACUGCUAACCAAAGUCCUUCGGAUUGAGGCGCCAGAGAGGGUGACAGCCCCGUAGAUGGCUAGCAGGAAGCGUGCAUGUUGUCAACUCCUAGAGUCGGGUUGUUUGGGAUUGCAACCUAAAGCAGGUGGUAAACUCCAUCUAAGGCUAAAUAUAGACACGAAACCGAUAGCGAACAAGUACCGUGAGGGAAAGUUGAAAAGAACCCUGAAAAGAGAGUUAAAAGUACGUGAAACCGCUAACGGGGAAGCGGAAGGCAGUGUCGAGACCGCGUCUAGUGGAUGUUUGUCGCGUUUCCUUGGAAAUUGUGGCAAGUGUCAGCUGGGCAUGGUGCGUCAGGCCUGCUGGUGAACAAGUGGAAGCAAGACAUGGCGCUCGCAACCUCCUAGGAGGAUGCGGGUGCGGUCUAGUGAAAGCUUGUAUGCUGGCUUGUGAGUGAAAAGCGUUGUUAGCUCAAAUUUUGGGCUGGUUGAUGCAGUCAGGCGCUGCGCCUUGUCUAAAGUUUGGACAAGACGUAGUUGUUUGGCUGGUCGACAAGCAGUGCUAGAUCCUGACGAGAUACCUAACUUUCCGACCCGUCUUGAAACACGGACCAAGGAGGCAGAGACUGGAGCGAGUUAGAGGGUGGAAAACCCGACGGCGUAGUGAAAGCAAAAGGUGGGAUCUGUUUGCCCCGGCAAGCAGCGCACCACCGGCCAGCUUCUUUGAAGUUGAGUUGGAGCUCCAGUCGCUGGACCCGAAAGAUGGUGAACUAUGCGUGAGCAGGGCGAAGCCAGAGGAAACUCUGGUGGAGGCUCGAAGCGAUUCUGACGUGCAAAUCGAUCGUUUGACUUGCGUGUGGGGGCGAAAGACUAAUCGAACCAUCUAGUAGCUGGUUCCCUUCGAAAUAUCCCUCAGGAUCGCUGAGACAGGUGGGAGACAGUUUCAUCGGGUAGAGCGAAUGAUUAGAGGACUCGGGGACAUAUUACUCUCGACCUAUUCUCAAACUACCAACCGGUGAGYCAAUUGAUUACUUGUGUGAAUCAGUUGAUUGAAUGUCUCUGUCUCAAGUGGGCCAUUUUUGGUAAGCAGAACUGGCGAUGCGGGAUGAACCGAGAGCUGAGCUAAGGUGCCUAAGAGCACGUCAAUAGAUACCACAAAAGGAGUCGGUCGAUGAAGACAGCAGGACGGUGGCCCUGAAAGUAGGCAUCCGCUAAGGAGUGUCUAAUAACUCACCUGCCGAAUCGACGGGCCCUGAAAAUGGAUGGCGCUGAAGCGUGCCACCGAUGCUCAGCCUUUACCUCGAGAAAUGCAGGUAAGGGGUAGAAGGGCGCGACGGUAGCAAUAAAGCGCAAAGUGUGAACUUGCGUGGAGCUGCCGCCGGUGUAGAUCUUGGUGGUAGUAGCAACUAUAAAAGUGAGUAAAAACCUUUUAGGCCGAAGUGGAGAAGGGUUCCACGUGAACAGCAGUUGGACGUGGGUUAGUCGGUCCUAAGCGGUUGCCUAARGGCUAUUUCAACGCAGACWUUUGUCUGAGUUCCGCGAAAGGGAAUCAGGUUAAUAUUCCUGAACUGGGCGCUGGAGACGCGGUCCUUGACGCAAGGAGAGGGCCGCUUAGCGGUAACGCAAGCAAUAUCGGAGACGCUGAUGUCUGUGGCGGGGAGAAUUAUCUUUUCUGCAUAACAAGUAAACACCUUGGAAUUGAGUCGCUCAGAGAUAAGGUGCAACGCUUGGAAGAGCUUCGCUAUUAUUGCGGAGCCCGCACUGCAGGGAUCAGCCCUUGAAAAUCCGAUGGAGUGGUUAAAUUUCGCGCCUAUCCGUACCGAAUCCGCAUCAGGU